UGAAUUUCAUGGCCAGAGGCAGAAUUGCUGGUUCCUAGCAGAAUGCGGUAUUACUGUUAUAACAUAGAACCAAUGAGAUCUUCUGUUUUAUUGAGCUCAGAAGGAAAUUAUUUUUUGUGGGAGGGGAAAGAAAGAAAAAAAACAGUGUAAAGGUACAGAUUUUCAGCCAGCAUAAAUCAAUGCACUGCUGUUGCAGUGGUGUGUUUAUAUAGCGUAAUUGCCACUUUGAAAUAACAGAUGCAGCACACAUUAAUCAAGCAGUAGCCACCUGCAUAUCCUUUCAGAGUCUGUUGCUAUUUGCAAUUGGAAACUUCUGUCGUGCAGUGAUGCAGCUACUAUAUGUGACUGAAUGGUUUCCAUUGCAGUCAGCCACUUCUCCGCUGAAGCAGUCAUCACGCAGAUCGCUGGGUAGCAUUGUCUUCACCAGGCUUUGGCAACUUUGUCAGAAAGCAAGCAGUUCAACAGUUUUUAGUUGGUAGUAUUUCUUUCCCUGGGCUUAAGCACAGACCCAUGAUGACUGGUUUGCUCGGCGUAUAGCAGUUGUAUUCCCAGGCUAUUUUAGAGUCUAAUGUGCUGAAGAAUUAAAAACUAAGGGACAAAUUACAAGGAUCUCGGUAAAUCUGUGAAGCUGGGGAUGAUGCUGCGUGACUGGGGAAUAGCAAAUGCAAAGAGGAAAAAGCCAGCAGAGGCAAUUCCAGGCCUAAAAGUCAUGUAUCAGUCCUACUUGAGCUUUAGAGCAAAGAAAGGGAUAAGCGAAGAGAUGGAGGUACCUGGAAAAAUGCAAUAAUAUGUAAUAGAUUUGCCAAAAGUGGAUCACAGCAGGCUGGAUGCCAUUGCCUGGGCAGAUGUCUGCUUCCUAAGCAAGAAGAUGUGGUACACCUCGCUUGUCUAGUCUUCCGAAUAGCAUCUCUUAUGGUGUUUCUUAGGUAAUGAUUAAGUUGAAGACACUGGCAGACGGCAGUAGGGCUGCUGGGCAGAUAGAAGAGACCGCGAGAGGGAGUGCAGAAAGACAAGGAUCAGGUUUGGGAAGAGUUUUUGGUGGCACCAACCAGGGAUCAGGACUGGGACCUGGAGUGAUUUUAAAUACGGUAUGAGCUCGUGCCCAGACACACGAAGACAAGUGUGUGUGUGUGCCCCAGGCCUCCCCUUCUGUGUGUGAGCACAUGCCACGGGAGGGAACGGGCUUGCAAUAAACAGGAAAGACUUUCUCUAGCACAAUAUUGGUUUUCCUCUGUUACCACAGAUACAUGUCUCAAUAUUUCUGGUUUGAAUCAUUUUACAGUAAUACAAGAUGAGGUAAUACUACCUCUCAGUAAAAUAAUUUCUAUACUAUGUCUUGGUAUGCUUCUGAUUAUUAAAAUAGUAUUACUGCUGGGUUUCAGAUCACUGCCGUAUCACUGCAAUGUGUUUUCAUGAAAGAAAAGACAUGGGAGAACCGAGUUACACAACUGUGUGUGUUUUCUUCUUCUUAGCAACCUUUGCACGUUGUCCCAAGAGGUUCUCAGUCUAUGCAAGAUUAAUUGCCCAAAUAUAAAAGCCCUGUUAACCUGAAUAUAUUAUUGAAAAACAGCAUAUUUCAAUCUGCCCUAGUUUUGAAAAUAGAGAUGCCGGGUCAGCUCCUGGCAUAAAUCUGCAGUGCUCCUCAGAAGCCAGCGGAGCUUCUCUGAUUUACAUCGGCAAUAAAGUCAUCCUGGUUUGUCUGCCACUGAUGAGAGCGUGAGUGUGCUCACUGAGCUGCCACAAAGGACACGGCUGUGGCCAGGGAGGAACCUUCAUGGCAAUCACUGUCUUCUGAGCAACCCAAACCUGCCAGCCUUGACAUUACAGAAUAAAACAUUUAAUUUAUCAGUAUGAAAAGCCAUUAAAAAAACCCCAACCCCUAGUUUUAUUUCUAAAGAAUAAAAGCUUGUCUUAAAGUUUUCAGUUAUGUUGAAAGAAAAAUUCCGGAUAAUAUGAAAUUAUAUAGGAAUUUCCAGCUGGUCAGUUGUGGGGUUUUUCCGCAUGUGCUGAGGUGGCCCUGGGCCAGACAGUGCAAGAUCUCUCAGCCCCUCAAAACUUGGAUGUGGAUUGCUCGGUGAGCUGAACCUUGCAGCUUGAAUUUCCACGCUUUCUCCACUAGAGGGAAUUUUAAAACGGAUCUUUCUUAGCAUUAAAGUCCAGUUUUCAGUGUGUUAAAAAGUAUUGCCUGCAGGACACUGCUGGACCUGGAUGCACAGGAGCACUGGCCCUUCCCUAAGGCACAAGAUCCUUUCUCAGUCCUGGCUGGUUAUAGCUAAUCACAGGAACAAACUCUGUUGCGAGAUGAAUAGCAGAAAAGGCUCCUUAAUUUUUUAAGGCUCAGCCUUUGAUUUCUCUCUGCCCGUCGGGGCUCGCUCGGCUCUCCCAUGGCUGGGGUCUCUGCAUCCCGCAGGGCUGUGUUCGUGGCCAGCUGAACGGAAAGGUCAGGCUGAGUUUUGAGGUAAAUUUUGAAUAUUGGGGCUUCUCAUAGCACUGCCUUUUUGUCAGUAGCAGAGCUGGCGUACAGAGCUGCCGACGUGCGAUAACCAUAAGGGGAAUGGUUCGGGCUUAUCUGCAUGCAGAAGUUGCACCUCAGUAGCCAAAAGAAUAAAUUUUAACGGACACAGCUCAACGCCUUCUUUCAUGUUAGGAGUAGCAUAGUAUGGGGAUAGGCAGAUGAUUGCAAGCAAUUAAGUUAUGCAGCUUAACAAAUUACCACUCUCUAGCUGAGCCUCUUUAAUUAACCACAUGCACAGACCCAGCCCAGCACUAAUGUGGCAUAAAAUAUUUUGCCUUCAACCACCGUGACCAGUAAUACCUGCUUUACUGGCGUACUUGGUAGCACUAAUUUUGACCUGCAGCUGUCACAUCAGGGAGAGCACAUAACUCCAGUGUCCCUGACCAUGCUGGGCCACGUCGUCUGCUCGUAUUGCGUGGUGCACGGUGGGAUGCUGGGCUUUGGCACUGCGAGGAUGGUACCUGGGGAUGUGCAGAGGGCUUGGUUUUUUGUCUCAGAGGACUCAGCCCUUGCCUCAGGAAAAAAAAGCUGCAAAAAUGGUACGAAGUCACUGGCAGGGUGUUGUAUUGCAGCGGGUUAAGUGUUAUCACAUCUCAGCCGCUUAGUUAUGUCUUACUAAGUCUUGAUUGCAACCCUUGUAUUAUUGUCAGAUUGGGGUAUCAGGUUUAUACUGAGCCAGAAUAAUAGUGUUCACAAAGGAUUUUGUCAUGCCUUAAUAUAGCAGUUUAAAAUGCGUUUCAAGGUCUUUCCUACAUGCAGAGCUAAUUGAGAAAAGCUAUUGCGGUUUCAAGUGAUGCUCUCACUUAAAUCAAGUUCACUUUUGUGUGCCGAUGUGCCCUAAAUUACACUGGUGCAGGUUUCCAGCCAGGCGAGGCUUUGUAGUAAGGGCAUGAUGUUCACCAGUUACAAAAACAUUGGGGAGAGGGUUUUCCUGCUGGUACUUUCGGAUGAAAGCCAGAAACUGAGGGGAGAACUUACAUCCCUGAGGUCUUAAAAAAGCAGCAGACAGCCUCUGGACCCUUAGCUCUGUUUUCUGCAACUCUAAGAAAAGUUCUCGGAUAUUUCCCCACCCAGGUGGUUCAAGUAGUGAACUGGGAAAGUAAGACAAGCACCAGGAACAGGCAUCCAACGGUGAGCUCUAGUAGACUGGAUGCCUCCUAUUCCUGGAGCAGGAUGGUGUAACCCUUUCCUGCACACACCCUGGCUAACUCAGCCUCCUGCCUGUGAUUUAUAACUCACCUUUCCCUCCUGCUAAUGCAGCAUUACUGAGCUGGCAGCGAGAGGAGGUCAGGGUCCUUCACAAGGGAUUUUCCAGGUUUGAGGGGUCUGCCAAGCCCUCGGCUUGCCCAGGGCUCAGUAAGUAUAAAACCUGGAAACAAGCUUUGUCCAGGUAUUAGGGAAGGCAUUAGUCAGCCUGCAAGGUUUUUAUUGCUGGUGAUCAUGAAGAAGAAAGGGACCAGCUGUCUUGGAUUUUCAGUGGAAGGAGUUUUCUACCCUAACUUAUUAAUUCAAGGCUUCCACCAGACCUGGGAAGCAACGUUACCUCUACACCUGCAUUCACUGUAGAGCUCAGCUCAAGAUUAGAUUGGCCGAGAAACUUAUAUUAAAGUAUUUUCUUGUUCUUUUAAUGGAAAUGCCCUUUUUACUAGGAGGGAAAACUUCAGUGACUGCUUCUUUUUGCUCUAAAUAUUUUUUUCUGAGAAUUGUGAAUCUGUCAAAAUGCAUCAAAACAGCGCUUUGAGAAGAGAAAAACUAUGCUUUUCUUCUUUGUUUCUUCAGUUGUAGCAGAAAUAGAAAGUGAAAAGGUGAAAGAAUACAGGAACCAGAAGGAAAAUAAAGAUAUAGAGGUGUGUGAGUAAAGUGCUUACUGCCUCUUGCAGCAGUCUCUCCAGAAGGCUGCAGCCAGCUGUGAAGGAGAGCAGAUGUUUCACAUCUGAGCACCAUCCAGGUAGGGACGGUGAGCGGAUCACAGGAGAAAUGCAGUAUCCAUUCCUGAUGUCCUUCUCCAGUGGCUUUUAAGAUACUGCUGGAGCUCUGCAGUACCAGUAGGAACAGUUGGUGGAAGCUGGUAUCCAGACCGGUCCUGCGAGGGGUGAAAAAAUCAGGUCCUCUGAAAAAGUCCCGCUGGAGACACAACCAAACCAGAGAACUACCCUAGAGGACAGUGACAUGUCGAUAAUGGGACUGAUUAAGAGAAAAGGAAAGUGACAAUUAGUAGUUCAUUUUCAUCGUGGCAAAAAGGCUCCAUCUGGUGGUGGUGUCACCCCAAAAAGAAGCUACAAGCUCUGAAUUGCUGGAGGGGAAGCUUUGCGGUGGCUGUUGUUGACCCGCCACCUUCCUGCCUGUCCUGCCUUUCCCUGAGGUCUCCAUCCAAAGGCAGGGCACGUCAGCUGCCUGGAGGUCCUGUGUUUCCAUGGGCAAGGGUAUUAAACAAGGUAAGCUGGAACUGGUGGUGGUUUAAGCCGUCAGGCUGUAGGCUGCAGCAAGCUCAGUAGCUGCUACACGUGCAGCCAGGAGCAGGAACUACCACCCACCUGUCCCAGAGCACCCCUUGCUUGUGCGGUCAUACCUGGAGGAGGUAAGGAAGUUUAAUUAUAUCUAAGGACAAAGCAUGUUAGAACAGGAUUUUCCCUUUUCCUGCACAGACAAAACCCCUCCAAGAACAAAACCUGAUCCUUCCUUAGACUGAGGCUCGCAGGGGCUGGGGGUCUCCAAAAUGUGCCUACUCGAUGCCUACUGCUUCUGAUCCAGCUUUUGGUUGCUGUGGGCACAAACUGCAUUGCUGUGGGCAGGUUUGGCACUGAUUUAUCUAGACCAGUUUUUGAAGGUGUUUUUUCUGGUUUCUAGCAAGGCAAGCAAGAAGGAAAAAAGGGCUGGGGGGGCGGGCGGAAUAAUAAAAAGAGUAGACUCGGGCUCUGUGUUUUAGUCUGGUGCCCUGUCCUAGUGGUCCCUGUCUGCACAGCCGAAGGGAACUGUCUUCUCUGCAGAGCCCUGGCGUGGAGCUGCCACCGUGCAGGUGGCAGAGGGAGAGGGAAGUUAGAGCUGGGGAAGGAACUACAGAGAAACAGGUAGCGCAAAGAGAGGGACAGAGGUUAAUUUACCUGUUUGCGGUGCGUUAACCGCCUCAGGCUGGCAAAGCGGUGAAAACAGCGCAGCAUGGCUUCCCAAGGACAGGGGAGCAGGAAAAGGACAGAAGAGAGGCAGUUAGACAACAAACACUGAGCGGAGGGUGCCCAGGGACGGGGCUGUGCUGGAGCCAGGCGUGCUCGGAGGAGCGACGGGAGCCUGGGACCUGGGAACCCAGAGACCCCGGCUUCCCUCCUGGCUCUGCCAGAGGUCUUCUGCAUGACCCUGGGCAAACCAUUUCACAUGCAUGCUUGGUUUCCCUACAGACAGAGAGAGGUGAGAACCGAACCCCUCAACAGCCACCUCGAUCCAAGCCUGUACUUCGGGCAAUCGGGGCUGUAAGUCGUCCAGGUGUUUGCCUUCGCUCUUCACCCUGUUGCUGUGCUUUGCGUGGGUGAGGCGGGCACGCAUCGCCUGCACGAGAUGGCUACAGGCUCUGCAAGCCCGCGGAGCAUCCCCCAUCCUGAGUUAGUUGGAUCCUGUUCCCUGUGGACCACGCCAAGGGCAGCGAGUACCUGCCCAUCCCCACAGCCUGCAGCUGCGUUUGCUUUGUGCCUCUGAAAGCCUGACUCAUCAGGGCUUUCCAGCUAUCGAGCAAGCAGCAGUGGGACCAGCAGCAAGUCUGCCAUGGUCCGGGGCUGGUCGUACCCCUGAAGGGGAGCUGGGACAUUCACUUGGCUACUGAUGCACGGGCCAUGCUUCCCAGGCACGUUCCCCCAAACUUUCUGACCCCGGUCAGCUUGUGCAAGGACUGCGAGGUGAUUGUCAGGCGAAGACUGUCCGAACAGUGCACAGGAGAAAGAGCAGACAGGCAGAAAACACAGGAACUGUCACGGUGAGCUCGUUGGGAGCUCAACCCAGGGACGGUGGGUGAAGCUUGAAUGGACAGGGUCUGCAUACUGGGGUAACUGCUCUGGGGUGGGGGCAAGGGUUUAACUGACUGCAUUGCACCCCAUCUGACCCUUCCUUCCCCGGUCUU